CAACUUUACCAGGCCAUUCCAGUCUCUGUCAGGUGGGAAGCUCCCUGCUGUCGUGUAUCCACUGUUAGAUCCCGUGUGCCCAGGCCGCUUCCACACCUUAUCUGCUGUCAAACGAGUCCUUUGGUCCGACGCAUCCUGAGGCUCCCGUGGGGAGGAGGAGAUCCUUGGUUGGCGCGGGACACCGCUGCCCUUGAGGGCGGGGAAGCAGCCUGUUCCCAGAGUGUGUGUCCUCUCAGCUAGAGCGCGUCUUCGGCCCUUCCAGGGUGAACCUGUCCCCAGCUUCUCUAGCAGCCUAGGCUCUGCCCAGGGCUCUCUAAUAGCCUAGGCUCUGCCGAGUCCCAUGGUCCAGAUGGCAGGGGUGAGUCCCUCCCAGCUCGGAGCCGCUGCAGGAGUCUGCACCGUCUCCCAAGAUCCUUGCCAGGCUGGUAAGUCCCAUCUCUGGAAAGUACUUCUAAAUUAAUAAAGGCUUCCAGAUCUAAUCAUAUCUUACGUUUUCACACUCCGUUUGGCUUCCUUGAUGAAGCACCUGUGGAAGCAGCCCCAUGUGUAUGCUCACAACUCCAAGCAGUGCAUCUUGGCUGGAUCAUUAUUCCUUUGGGACAUUGUCCCUUCUUCCUGUAUCAAGGAUACCAAGUUCCCAGAUGAGUCAUGCUGGGCCUUACCCCCAGUUAUUGCAUAAUGGCCAGAAGAGUAGAGAUGGCAGACCCUAACCAGGGCAUGUGUUCUCUUACAGAGGAGAGUGCUGACAGUGAAAAGGAGGGCAGACCCCUUCUGUAAGCAUAGAGACGUCAGAGGAGCCUGGUGGGUCCAUCUUUUUUCCCCUGACCUUGGCCUAACAGACUCGUCCUGGCUAGGGAUAUGACCUUCUCUGGCAUUUGGUCACCCUGACUGUUCAAUGCUGGGCUUUUGCUCAGUUUCGCUGUCCUUCCACUGGGGGAGUUUAGAGCUAAAAUGACCCUUUGGGGAGCCCCAGGACUUCCCGUGUGGCUCACAACCCUUUGGGGAGCCCUGGAGCAUAGCUGGCUGGCACAUUAGAAUAGUGCCAUCCUGGGCAAUAACGGCCAGCUUGUUAUACCCUCCCUGUAAUCAGUCUUUGAAUGUAAGCCUCUUGGGGUCACAAGGGAAAAAACAGCAUCAGACAAGGCAUCAUCCUGGCUUCACAGAGGUUGGAGGGAGACGAGUAAACCUAGCAUCACAUCUUCUUGCUGGUGAAGGAUGAGGCGCAGUGAGCUGAAGUCCUUACUCCAAGUCACGCCAUCAAAGCACAUGUCGUAGCUUUUACAGAUUUUGUUUGAAAACAGAAGUGGAGUGAUCCGAAGAUUCGCUCUUGUCGCGUCAUAAAAUUACCCUCAAGUGAAAAGGUCUGAAGAGGCGUGGAUGAUAGACAGACAGCAUCCUCCCGUUCACAGCACACUGGCUGUUUAGACAGCUCCCUAAGUGGUCUUUUUCCCAGCCUGUGCUCGGGUAUUGGUCUCGGCCUGUUCCUUUUCUCAGUGUGUGUGCGCUCUUGGUGACUCCUGUACCAUCUAUUUGCUGAUGAUUCACAGGUAUUUUUUUUUAACUCUCUAGAUCCGCUUACACAAUUGUUUAGUGAAUAUUCCUACCAAAAUGUCUCGUAGGUAUCUCAUACUGAUCAGAUCUAAAAAGGAAUUCCUCUUUCUCACCAAGAUACGUUAUACACAGUUUCUUUCCACUCUUCUGCAUCUUCCCCUUAUCCUUCUAGACUUAUAGCAUCUUGCCAUCGUCUUCUUGGACAAAUGUACAGGAACCGGAGGUAGAGAAGUGGACAGCAGUCACCCUGGGCUUGAAGUUGCUUUCUCAUGCCUGUUUAUCCUGCCCACCAAGGUCGUACUAGAUUGAACCACGAAAAAUUGCCCUUUUUAACGUAAAAAUUAGUCAGAUAUUAGCAAUUACGUAUAGUAUGACCAAUUACUGCUUUUGUUGUGGUAAGACGACUUCCAAAAUUAUCUUAUUCUUAAAUAGAGAGUGAACACCCUAACGCUAAUGCAAAUGUUAAAGUUAUAAUAGGUUUCCAAGAUAAAACAGAACAAUCUGAGGGAAUUAGCUUUGUGUAUCAUGUAGUCAGGUUAAUUUGAGGAGUCUGGGAGUCUGAGAGUCUUUAUCCUGUAAGUCAUUUCUACGUUGAAAAGAAAAUUUGGAGCAAUACAGAGAAGUUCUAACCACGGUCAAGGCACAAUGAUUUUUUUAAAGAUAAUUGUCAAGUCUAAGAACUUCGCAUAAAAAAUUUUUUCAACAUUUUAGCUUCAAGUAGGAAAUAUUCUAACUUUAUAUCAAUCUUUAGUGAAUAAAUAGAUUGUGGUUAAUUUUAAAAAUAGAACCUGAGUGUUUCAGAGUUUUUACUGACUUUGGGGGAAAAAUAAUAGUAUUUUUUUCAAGUCUGACAAGUGAUUUAUUACACAUGAGGCUUUUUGGCCUUCCAGAUUUCCACUUUAGCUGACAAAAUCUUUAAAUAGACUAUUACAUACCCCAUUUGCGAAAAGUGAAAUGUUUUCAAUUAUUGUUGAGUUCUCUCGCUCUGGGGACUUGGCAUGGCGUGUUCUAGCUAAAAUCUUUGGAAUUCUCUUCAGUGUGUGUUAGAUGUGAAAUUGGUUUUUCGAAACAUUUUUAAAUGGAGAUCUUAGUCCAAAAGGUAUAAAUUGCUGAUAAUUCUUGUCAGUGAAAACUGAGGCUUCCAUGGCUAAUUUGUAUUUCCCUUAAAUACUCCACAGAAAUUCUUUGGGUUUUGUGGCCGUACAGUGUCUGUCCCAGAUACUCAGCUCUGACUGCACGGGUGAAAGCAGCCAGAGAUGGCACGUAGACAAAUGGGCACAGCUGUGUCCAGUGAAACUUUAUUUACAAAAUCAGGAAGCCAGCCCUUGGGGUCAUGUUUGCUGACUUCUGCUUCGUCUGCUAUUCUGUAGUAAUUUAUCUUAUGGCAAUUUUUUUGUCUAUAUUUUGGUUAUCAGUUGACUAGUAUAGUAUCUCAUACAUGACAUAUAAUCAAUAACUAAAGAAAGAAGGAUGAAAUCUUAUGCAUUUCUCUUUGGGAAAAUGUGCGUCGCCUUGAUACCAUUCAGAAUGUCUGUGCAGAAGUGUGUGACCUGAAAAUAGGUGUGAGGAGGGAGUCCCUGUUGUGCUCAGUGCGUUACGGACCCGACCAGGAUCCACGAGGGUGCGGGUUCGAUCCCGGCCUCACUCAGUGGGUUACGGACCCGACCAGGAUCCACGAGGACUCGGGUUCGAUCCUGGCCUCGCUCAGUGCGUUACGGACCCGGCCAGGAUCCACGAGGACUCGGGUUCGAUCCCGGCCUCGCUCAUGGGUUACGGACCCGACCAGGAUCCACGAGGACUCGGGUUCGAUCCCGGCCUCGCUCAGUGGGUUACGGACCCGACCAGGAUCCACGAGGACUCGGGUUCGAUCCCGGCCUCGCUCAGUGCGUUACGGACCCGGCCAGGAUCCACGAGGACUCGGGUUCGAUCCCGGCCUCGCUCAGUGGGUUACGGACCCGACCAGGAUCCACGAGGACUCGGGUUCGAUCCCGGCCUCGCUCAGUGCGUUACGGACCCGACCAGGAUCCACGAGGACUCGGGUUCGAUCCCGGCCUCGCUCAGUGCGUUACGGACCCGACCAG
rnacentral:lncRNA from 9 species